AUAUUUAAAAACGUGUGUAUAGUAUCUGUUCUUAUCAGCUUAACAUCUGAUACACUUUCACGUGAAGUGCCAUUUGUUAAACUAAUUUUUGAAAACAGGCGGAGAAUUUGGGGCUUGCUCCUAUUCCGCCACGGGUCGAUCCGGUAUUGCAGUACUACCGGAAACAGCCCAAUAUCU